GACGAACGCUGGCGGCGUGGAUUAGGCAUGCAAGUCGGACGGUAGGGCUUUAUCGUAAGAUAGAGUUUGAGAGUGGCGAACGGGUGAGUAACACGUAGGAAUCUACCCUUAAGACGGGGACAACCCAGGGAAACUUGGGCUAAUACCGGAUGAGAGUGCGAGAGAUUGCAUUUAAAAGGAUGGCGAAAGUUGUCGCUUAGGGAUGAGCCUGCGGUCUAUUAGUUAGUUGGUGAGGUAAGAGCUCACCAAGGCGAUGAUAGAUAGGCGGCCUUAACGGGUGGUCGCCCACACUGGGACUGAGAUACGGCCCAGACUCCUACGGGAGGCAGCAGUUGGGAAUCUUAGGCAAUGGACGAAAGUCUGACCUAGCGACGCCGCGUGAGGGAAGAAGGCCUUCGGGUUGUAAACCUCUGUCAUGGGGAAGAAGUAAGUGACGGUACCCCAAGAGGAAGCCCCUGCUAACUACGUG
rnacentral:rRNA from 1 species